GGCGUCAGGCUGCGAGAUAGCGCCGAGACAGCAUGGACGCCGGGAGCCUGGGAAAGCCAACUGUACCACAGGAGUCUAAACUGUAGCUAGGAAUAGAAGUACGCUCAUUUUAGCUAUUAGAAGGUUUGCCUGAUACUCUGGCUCUUUAUUUCGAGGAUGUCUAGCUCACCUGUGAUAUAACUCAGACCCCAUUUCACUCAUUUCUUAAACUAGGAAUGGGGCAGAAUUUCCCAGCAUCUCUUCCAGCUCCCAGGGAGAAGGUCUGGGACCUAUGUUCUACCAACCAAAUACACUCUCAUGAAGCUCUCAUUUGGAAGUCAGCAACAUGCAGACACAGACUGGGUUCUGAGCAUCUAUGGUGCAGAUGAAGAUGAUGGCAGGAGCUGUGGAGGCAGUAGAAUCCUCAUCAAGCCACUUCUGUGCCUCUAGACCUGCAGUAGCAUGAAGAGGUCUGAGGAAGCUGUGCGUCCCUCAAGAAAGCAAUUCUUUAUUGCCCAUCAAAGAUGAAUCCAUAGGGGAUCAUUAACAAGGAGAUCAUCCCAGAGAGCAGCUUCUAGAAUCACCAACCAAACAGAAGAUUUGUCAGAAGAACAAAGACCUCAAAAUGAGAAGGAAUGUGUUCUGGACUUAAAACAUUGCUCAGGUAUCUUAGCAAGGACUGAGACCUUGGAGGUCUCCAAAUACCAGUAAGAAUCAUUGUGUUAUCCUCUUUCUCACAUGUUGGAUUUUUUUUUUUUUUUUUACUUGUGAUUGAUGAACUGGGAGAAAGGAAGUGGUCUAGAAAGGGUGAGAGUGGGUGGGUAGAUAGGAUACAGGUGGCCUCACCUGGAGAGUGGUCACCUGUGAACAGAAGCCAUGUUGAACUCCCUGCACUGCCUCUUCUUCUCUGUUCCUUGCAAUGACCUUUAGCUGGACUCAGUCAAAACGGCGCUGUCCUUCCCCUUCCCAACCUAAAGCUUAUAGUGCAGUUAAUCUAGAGGUCAGCUGAAGUGCAGAUUCAAGUGGCUCAAACCCCUUUGCAGUAUAGGGAAGGAGUCUGGAAUAGGGAAAGGAUGGGUUGGGGGUGAAGAUGGGAGUUGCUCAUGGCUUCCCUAAUUAGCUCUGAUUCAGAGCUCAGACUUCUGUUAUCAUUUCCUACCCACAAGUGCUGUCUUAUUCCUUUGGUUUCCUUCAUUUCUAUUCAGCCUCAUGAAAUAAAGAAAUAAAGAAAACAAACAAGUAAAUAAAAACAAGAUCUUUAUGGAUGUGGCAGAAAGCUUUGCAAGCCAAGAAAGUCUUCUAUCCAGGUGAUGCAAAUAACUGUAAAACUUCAGACUUCUUGAACUACAAAGAUGAACUCUGCCAACCCAAGUUCUAGUACUUCCUCUACUCCCAGCCUGACCCCCACUGUUUCUUGGUUUCCUCACUCCUUCUCUUUCUGUUUGACUCUUGAGAGUAAUAAACUCAGCCAAGUCCUACUACUUGAGCCCAUAUUUAAAUGCAGAACAAUUUGGCCUUCAGUUUAUUCUUCCCCCUUCUUCCAGACUCUGGUCUGAUUUAUCUUUUUAUACUCUAUAGCCUAUUAGGGUUUUAUAAUAAAGGCUAUCCUUCUCUAAGA